AAAAGUUUUCAGGGGAGCCUCGUGCUGACGAGCGAGGCUGAGAGUCCGCGCAUUGCGGAAUGAAAGAAUUGAUUCAUUGGCUCAUUUGUUCAUUGAUUCAAUGAGUAAAUGAGUAAAUGAAUCAAUCUUCUCUUUCCGCAAUCAGAGGAGACCCUUUGAACCUGAUGCGGUUAGUACCGUCGAAGGGAGAAACGCCGGGCGAGGC
rnacentral:ncRNA from 2 species